rnacentral:sRNA from 1 species
UCUCUGAAAUACCUAAGCAGGGAGUCAUUUCAGAGCAACGAGACUAUCCUGGAACUUCUGGUGCCUCACUCCUGAUGCGGAAGCUCGUCCAGAUAUUGUAGAAGUCAGUUCGAUGAUAUCAGAUGUCAUGAUGAAAUAUUUAGACAACUUAUCUAAAUCCCAGUUGUCCUUGGAGAAGAAGCUAGAACGGGAACGAAGACGCACACAAAGGUAUUUUAUGGAAGCCAACCGGAACACCAUCACAUGUCACCAUGAGCUGACUCUUCUAUCUCAUGAGACCUUUGAGAAGGCAAGUUUGAGUAGCAGCAGCAGUGGAGCAGCCAGCCUGAAAAGUGAACUUUCAGAAAGCGCAGACCUGCCCCCUGAAGGCUUCCAGGCCUCCUAUGGUAAAGACGAAGACAGGGCCUGUGACGAAAUCCUGUCAGAUGAUAACUUCAACCUGGAAAAUACUGAGAAAGAUACAUAUUCAGAGGUAGAUGAUGAAUUGGACAUUUCGGAUAACUCCAGCAGCUCCAGUUCAAGCCCUCUGAAAGAAUCUACAUU